rnacentral:lncRNA from 1 species
CAUUUGUUUAAAAACCUAAUAGCAAAAGACAAGAGUGUUCUUGUUCAAGUUGUGUCACGGAAUGAAACAUAGGAAAUCUAGUAGAUAAUAAUGAUGAUGAUGAAAGCUAGCAUGCCAGUCACUAAACCAAGUACUCUACAAUCCUUUUAUGAUCACAAAACCCAAUGGAGACACUAUUGUCAUUAUCUCCAUUUUACAGAUGGGGAAAGUGAGCUUUAGAGAAGUUUAACAAUUCGCUCAGUUCCACAGUUAAGCACCAGAGCUCAAGUUCGCACCCACGUGUGUUGACUUCAAAAGCCAAGCGCCUAUCUGUUGUUUGACACUGCCAUUUCUGACAACAGAUCCGAAUUCAAAUCUCAACUCAGCCACAUGGAAGGGACUGGAUGGCUGGAAGUUAGCUAUAGGAGUAACCAAGAGGUGCAAAAGAAAGUAGCAAGGGAAGUGAAAAUAGACUCCAGUGAGCAGAGAAAGGCAUACCAGCUCCUGAUAAAUUAAAGGAGGCUGCCGCCGGUCCUGGAGCGGGGUUCAAUGAGAAGAACGCAUGGUACGGAGAGAGCCACGAGGCUCACUCCUCACGAGUAUGCAUUGUGUUUGACCAAGAACUUGGUGACUUUAUGGUCAGGUGUGGCCUGAGAGCACUUUCUAGUCCAUUGUCCUGUUUCAAGGAGCUUUGAAAAAUUGUAAGGAACUGAACAGAAAGGAAUUGCUUGAGUUGUUGGUAUGAUUCACUUUUGUGUAAAACUGAGCCACUGUGCAGAAGUGAGUGUUUUUCAAAGUGAGGUCACGGAUGCCUAUGAACAUUUCGCAUGUCGGUAUUUUCCUCGCUGUGGUAAGGCCCUUUACUCAUGAUGAAUGGAAAUCUGAAGACUCGUAGGAAGGGUCAGAGAUUACCUUUGUGGCUGUUAGCUCUAUUUGAGCAGUUUCCUCUCUGAGCAUUCCUGUACAGUUUUUAAUGGAGGAGAAUAAUCAAGACCAGCCCGCUCAAAGAGCUUAUGAAAAAUAGAUGAAAUUUAGAGUUUAAAAUCCAGAUUUAAUUGUUAGGCUUACUUUUAAAAGAGAGCAAGAAAAACGACCCCAAUGGCUUAUUAUAUAACAUCCAGAUGUUCGGCAUCAGCCAGACCAGAUGAGGGAUGACUUUUUCACUUUUCAUCUGGAUGCUUUGGCCUCUCUAUAGACACAGCGAAAGAGGGCGGUUAUAUAAGAAGCUUGCUGGAGUGGCCUUGUCCUCAUUCUCAACUUGCCCUUCAGGAGACCCAUAAACAUUCAGCUGCAUUUUUAAGCUUAGAUGCGAUAGAUUCUUAAUGAAUGCAUUCCUUAGACCUAGCGUGGGCUUGAGAAGCUUCUGGAAAUCAUUCGAUCUGAUCAUUGGCUCCAAGUAGACAAAGUACUGAAUGAGAGAAAUUUUCCCUUCUCAUUCAAAUGUUUGAGGCUCAGGUAGACCUAGACUGGCUUUAUCGUAAAGGAGCUAAUAUAACAUAUCUAACAUAUCAUUAAAA